rnacentral:rRNA from 1 species
AACGAACGCUGGCGGCAGGCUUAACACAUGCAAGUCGAACGCCCCGCAAGGGGAGUGGCAGACGGGUGAGUAACGCGUGGGAAUCUACCUAGUUCUACGGAACAACAGUUGGAAACGACUGCUAAUACCGUAUACGCCCUAUGGGGGAAAGAUUAUCGGAAUUAGAUGAGCCCGCGUAAGAUUAGCUAGUUGGUGGGGUAAUGGCCUACCAAGGCGACGAUCUUUAGCUGGUCUGAGAGGAUGAUUAGCCACACUGGGACUGAGACACGGCCCAGACUCCUACGGGAGGCAGCAGUGGGGAAUAUUGGAAAAUGGGCGCAAGCCUGAUCCAGCCAUGCCGCGUGAGUGAUGAAGGCCUUAGGGUUGUAAAGCUCUUUCACCGAUGAAGAUAAUGACGGUAGUCGGAGAAGAAGCCCCGGCUAACUUCGUGCCAGCCGCCGCAGUAACAC